rnacentral:rRNA from 1 species
UACGUAGGGCGCAAGCGUUGUCCGGAUUUAUUGGGCGUAAAGAGCUCGUAGGUGGCGUGUCGCGUCUGCCGUGAAAGCCCAUGGCUUAACUGUGGGUCUGCGGUGGAUACGGGCAGGCUGGAGGCUGGUAGGGGCAAGCGGAAUUCCUGGUGUAGCGGUGAAAUGCGUAGAUAUCGGGAGGAACACCAGUGGCGCAAGCGGCUGACUGGCCGAGACCUGACGCUGAGACGCGACGGCGUGGGGAGCAAACCGG